rnacentral:rRNA from 1 species
UAAUCUUAGUGGCGGACGGGUGAGUAACGCGUGGGUAACCUGCCUUACACUGGGGGAUAACACUUAGAAAUAGGUGCUAAUACCGCAUAAGCGCACGAAGCCGCAUGGAUUUGUGUGAAAAACUACCGGUGGUGUAAGAUGGACCCGCGUCUGAUUAGCUUGUUGGCGGGGUAACGGCCCACCAAGGCGACGAUCAGUAGCCGGCCUGAGAGGGUGGAGGCCACAUUGGGACUGAGACACGGCCCAAACUCCUACGGAAGGCAGCAG